rnacentral:rRNA from 1 species
UGGGGAAUAUUGGACAAUGGGCGAAAGCCUGAUCCAGCCAUGCCGCGUGUGUGAAGAAGGCCUUUUGGUUGUAAAGCACUUUAAGCGAGGAGGAGGCUACUUGGAUUAAUACUCUAGGAUAGUGGACGUUACUCGCAGAAUAAGCACCGGCUAACUCUGUGCCAGCAGCCGCGGUAAUACAGAGGGUGCGAGCGUUAAUCGGAUUUACUGGGCGUAAAGCGUGCGUAGGCGGCUUUUUAAGUCGGAUGUGAAAUCCCUGAGCUUAACUUAGGAAUUGCAUUCGAUACUGGGAAGCUAGACUAUGGGAGAGGAUGGUAGAAUUCCAGGUGUAGCGGUGAAAUGCGUAGAGAUCUGGAGGAAUACCGAUGGCGAAGGCAGCCAUCUGGCCUAAUACUGACGCUGAGGUACGAAAGCAUGGGGAGCAAACAGG